rnacentral:lncRNA from 1 species
CUCUCAGCGUUGGCAACGUUGUUGAGCAAAAUGAAUGUUAAUACUUGAAGAGAAUGUAUUGAUUGACUCAGCCUCGAGCCCCGGUAAAACCAUCAAAAACCUAUUGUAGGAAAAAAAAUUGUGAUGGAAAGGGUACUCUGAUAGACGAGUUUUCUGAAGAUAAAGUUGAGUUGAAAUUUUGGAAUAAACAAAUUAGGCCCCAUUAGACUUCAUAAUGUCGACAAAGAAAAGAAACAAAAGUAUGUUGUAGAAGGAUUUGAGUAAGAGUAUUUGGGGGUGCAUUUGUGAGUAACACAACCUGAUAGAACGUUCAUUGAUUGAAUGAGAGGAAAUAAAGGAAAGAUUUUGCUUCAGAACUUUUGAAGAAAAGAAUUUUGUCGUCAAUAAUGAGGAAUUUAUGAUUUAUCGUC